UUUAAUGGAGAGUUUGAUCCUGGCUCAGGACGAACGCUGGCGGCGUGCCUAAUACAUGCAAGUCGAGCGGACCCUUCGGGGUUAGCGGCGGACGGGUGAGUAACACGUAGGU
rnacentral:rRNA from 1 species